GGGGUUGUGGCUUAGUGGCUGAGCACUUGCCUAGCAUGCUUGAGGCACUGGGUUCGAUCCCCAGCAUCACAU
rfam:Ictidomys tridecemlineatus contig049025, whole genome shotgun sequence.